UAGAAGACAGAAGAAAUAGAGAAGUGCUUUUGGUUCAUAAAUUUUAUUGGGUUUUGUUCAGCCUUGAAAUCUUCUUGCAUUGAGGAAGAAGACAUUACUUUCCUUGCUCUAUUCAUCUGGCUAAAACUCCUGGUACAGUAUUGAACUGAAAUAGUUGAAGCAGACAUCCUUGUCUUGUUCCUGAAAUUAAGGCAAGAGAGAAAAUCCAAAAUUCUUCAUUUGGGCCAGAACCAGAGUUGUUGACCCAGGUAUUUGAAACCCAUAAAUAAAAUUUUCUUAGGGGUCAAUUUGUUGGAAAUGACCAUAUCAGGCCAAGUUCAUGAACAUGAGUAUACUUCUAUCCAUCUUCAAAGGUAAUGCAAUUACUACAUUAUAUUCAUAUUAAUAAUUUAGGUUUGGCUGAGCUUCUCUUUUUCACUUAACUAAGAAAAUGUGGAGCCUAUCUAUCCUAACUCACUAUUGAUAGUGUACUUCCUUUCCAGGGGCCAACCCUUGUUCCAAAGAGAGAGGGUCUGUGCUUCAGGGGAGUAACAGAUGAUGGAGUAUGAAAAACACCUGGUCAGUUUAUUAUGGUGUUUGUGGACUUAUCCU
ensembl:lncRNA